UAACAUUUUAAGAUUGACCUUUACGGCAUAAAAGGUCGAUCUUUAUUCCUUUAUUCAAGCUAAAAGUAGCUAAAUCAUGGUCCAAUUUUUAUGCACAAGUUGCUCUAACUUCGAACAUGUUAACAGCUAACAGGUGACUUCAAAUUACGAUUUGAAGUUUGCAGUUAUAGCGGUUUGCCGUAAACGUCAAUCUUAAAGUUCCUAAUAUAUAUAAUACGUCAGCUGAAAUAAAACGUAUUGAACCAUGA